rnacentral:sRNA from 12 species
AAGCCAGUCCCGAACUGUCACCGGAUGGUGUGCGUGUCUAGGACAACUAGAAUAGGGGCUGGUUUCGGC